rnacentral:rRNA from 1 species
AUUGAACGCUGGCGGCAUGCUUUACACAUGCAAGUCGAACGGUAACAGGGAGCUUGCUCCGCUGACGAGUGGCGAACGGGUGAGUAAUGCGUCGGAACGUGCCGAGUAGUGGGGGAUAACGCAUCGAAAGGUGUGCUAAUACCGCAUACGUACUGAGGUAGAAAGUGGGGGACCUUCGGGCCUCACGCUAUUCGAGCGGCCGACGUCUGAUUAGCUAGUUGGUGAGGUAAAGGCUCACCAAGGCGAGGAUCAGUAGCGGGUCUGAGAGGAUGGUCCGCCACACUGGGACUGAGACACAGCCCAGACUCCUACGGGAGGCAGCAGUGGGGAAUUUUGGACAAUGGGCGCAAGCCUGAUCCAGCCAUGCCGCGUGUCUGAAGAAGGCCUUCGGGUUAUAAAGGACUUUUGUCCGGGAGCAAAUGCCUGGUGUUAAUAGCACUGGGAGCUGAGAGUACCGGAAGAAUAAGCACCGGCUAACUACGUGCCAGCCGCCGCAGUAAGAC